rnacentral:rRNA from 1 species
AUUGAACGCUGGCGGCAUGCCUUACACAUGCAAGUCGAACGGCAGCACGGUUGCUUCCACCUGGUGGCGAGUGCGGGACGCGUGAGUAAUACAUCGGAACAUGUCCUUAAGUGGGGGCUAGCGCGGAGAAAGGCGAAUUAAUACCACAUACGCACCCCGGAUACAAGUGAAAGCACUGCGGGCCCCGAACUAGAGCGUUGGCCGAUGUCUGAUUAGCUAGUUGGUGGGGUAAAGGCCUACCAAGGCGACGAUCAGUAGCUGGUCUGAGAGGAUGAUCAGCCACACUGGAACUGAGACACGGUCCAGACUCCUACGGGAGGCAGCAGUGGGGAAUAUUGGACAAUGGGCGCAAGCCUGAUCCAGCCAUACCGCGUGGGUGAAGAAGGCCUUCGGGUUGUAAAGCACUUUUGUUGGGAAAGAAAAGCAGCAGGUUAAUACCGCGCUGUUAUGACGGUACCCAAAGAAUAAGCACCGGCUAACUUCGUG